GUUACGUAUUUUGUUUAUAACAUUAAGAGUUUAUAUUUCGUAUUUAGCCGACAACUGACCAGCCGUGGUGUAUACGAGCGACAGAAACUUAAAAAUAUUAAUUAUGUUUCAGCACGAAACAAGGGAUACCUAACAUCUGGAUAUAUUGUACAAAAUUUAAGAAUAUUAUCUUAACAAAAAGAUUAUUAUGUCACGCUAAAAGUGAUUCUCUCAGCAAAUGGUCUAAGGAUUCAAACUAAACAGGAUGGAUAGGUAUCUUAAAUUUUCAAAAUAUUACUAAAGAUUUCAGAACACAAGUAUAAAUAAUCAUGUUAGGUAUGUUGGAUCAAAUAUAUAAGCUUUCAAUUGCUCAAAUUCAUACCAUUUCAAGUGAUCAACGUUAAUUUUAAAUGUUGGAAAUGACAUUGCCAUAACUUAUUUAAUAAACAUAGAAGCCAUCAAAAGAUAGUUAAUCUAUUUUAGUAGUUAUUAUAUUGUAGUCAGCACUACACUUUAGCACUAAACAUACCCUUUAUGGGUCUUGGAUUUGUUUCAUUAAUAAAUAAUUGUAUUUAAGGUACAUACUUAGAUUUGCUCAAGAUUUUUUUUUAUUCAUAGUACUGAAUCAAUAACUGUGUGCGAAAUUACUAAGCUUUGUUACCAUAAAACUUUAAAUAAUAUUUGGCUUAGUUAUAAUAUUAUCAAACAUGUUUUUAAGAUACUUUACUUAGAAAUACAAAGAUAUCCCAUAAAGUUUUUGUGUGUUUUAUGCAAGUUUUUUUAUUAUUUUCCUUAACUUUACAAUAAUUAAAUUGUUAUGCAAUAUUAUUGUGUCAGUACAGUGACCUACCACAUCUCCCUAUUUACAAUUUUAACACAUAACUAUUGUAUUACAGCCAUCAGCGGUAGUUGUCA